rnacentral:miRNA from 1 species
UGGGAGAAGCCGUAGGGGGGAAGGCGAAGGAGCGAGGAAAAUUGGGAGAGGCGAGAAAAAAAUAGCUAUUUCAAUUUUUUCCUCGCUCCUUCGCCUUCCCCCCUAGCUUCUCCCACC